AUUGAACGCUGGCGGCAUGCCUUACACAUGCAAGUCGAACGGUAACGGGCCUUCGGGUGCCGACGAGUGGCGAACGGGUGAGUAAUGCAUCGGAACGUACCUUUCAGUGGGGGAUAACGCAGCGAAAGUUGCGCUAAUACCGCAUAUUCUGUGCGCAGGAAAGCAGGGGAUCGCAAGACCUUGCGCUGAUUGAGCGGCCGAUAUCAGAUUAGCUAGUUGGUGAGGUAAAGGCUCACUAAGGCGACGAUCUGUAGCGGGUCUGAGAGGAUGAUCCGCCACACUGGGACUGAGACACGGCCCAGACUCCUACGGGAGGCAGCAAUGGGGAAUUUUGGACAAUGGGCGAAAGCCUGAUCCAGCAAUGCCGCGUGUGUGAUGAAGGCCUUCGGGUUGUAAAGCACUUUUGGCGGGAACGAAAGGGACUGUGCCAAUACCACGGUUCGAUGACGGUACCCGCAGAAUAAGCACCGGCUAACUACGUGCCAGCCGCCGCGGUAAUAC
rnacentral:rRNA from 1 species